ACAAAGGAUUUUUUGGGAUCCAUAAAACAUUUAAAAGGCAAGUUUAU
rfam:Chelonia mydas contig146868, whole genome shotgun sequence.